UUUCAUGGCGACCAGGACGCUCUGGAUGCCCCAUAGUGAGCUAAGCCGAGGGAGGCUGCGUACGCCCGCCUCUCCGCUCCCGGCUCAACACCUCUCCUUCCUCUUCCGGUCCUCGCGGCAAUUCGGUUGCCUAGUGAGAGGCGAGGGUUUGGUAACUCGGGGAGGGUGUACAGGUGGGGCCAAGGAUGGGCGUGGCGCCCGGGGGCGCGGCCUGCGGAGUCCGGGAGCGCUGGGACUGUAGCUGGGUGGGAUCUCCGGGCAGCGGUGUGGGAGCGGACCAGUCUCAACCCGGGCCUCAUUAUUAUUAGGUGUGGUAGCCUAUACGUGCUGGCUUCUUGGCUUUCGUCCCGAAAAGGUGCGCACGACCGACGCAGGGCGCCCCUUGGGUUUCCAGUGGCUUGAGAAGAGCGCUUGGAAUCGUAUGUUUCGGCUCCAGCUUUUACUUUUGCAGUUUGUUUUGUGGCCGGCUUGAUGUGGGCCUCUGGAGGGUGAGCAGUAACGUGCUAAUAAUAGGCCUUUUGAGCUCUUUCUGUGUGCCUGGUACUGUACUAAACACAACGUUUCUUAUUUUAAUUCUCACACUAUCCCUGUAAGGUAGCUACAGUUAGUAAAGUGUCGAGGUUAGAGGACUAGGGAGUGUAGAGAUACAACUCCAAUCUGGACACUGAAUCACGAUGUUUUAAAGCCACCAAUCUUUUUAAAAUUUUAUUUACUAGAUAGCAACAUUUUGAUUAUACUCAAGAGACAUCAGGUUGCAGUCUAUAGAAGGAAACGAAAUUAAGUCCCAGGGACAAACAAUUUAACCAUUGUCCAGAAAUAAAAGAUUAGUAACUAAAAGGGAGACUUAUGUAGAAUCAGUAUAGUCUCCUAAGGCUCUGCUCCCAUCAAGGAAAAACGUAGUUCCAAACCAUUAAGCCUGGAUUCUUAACGUGACGUUCCCGGAAUCAGUUUUCACGAAUUCUGAAGGGAGCCUGUGAAAAAAGUAAUCCUGAUCCGGUAGCCCUCCUUGAAUUUAAAACUGCCCCAUCACCAUUUAGAAUUAAUGUGUUUUUCCUUUUUGAAGUAGGUUUGCAAUUGUCUGCCUAAACAGCUCGUCUUUAGAGCUGCCCUUAUUUGUUUUGCCUGCUCCACCACCACCACGCUAGGGUCAUAUAAUAUGCAGGAUGUCUAGAAGUCAACAGCUGUUCAGAUCUGAAGGUCUGUGGGAGCCCGCCUACCGAUGAGGUUGUUUGUCAGCAGCGCUAAAGGAUUUGGAGGGCAAGCAGUAGAAUUAUUGCAGCUCCUGAUCAAAUCAGAUUCUAAGGACAACCGUCCCAAAGAAUCAGGAGUGUCUGGAAUGUCCAGACAGUCUCCCUGGGAAGGAGGAAGGGUUCUGUUUGUGCCCUCUCUGAACUGGCCCUUGAGGUUUCCUUUAGGAGGUGACGGCCGAUUUUCACCUUCUGUAGAGGGACCCCAUGUAGCACUAAGCCACCUCCGUUUCCAAGCACAGUUAGCUGGCAGAGAGAAAGCUGUUUGAGGCGACUGUCCCACGUGGUCGUCUGGAUCUAUAGCAACACCUGGAAUAGAACCUUGACCUCUAGAGUAGUGGUUCCUUUUGCUGUCUUUGCCAUCGAUUUCUUUCUUUCCCUUUAAUGGGUGACCCACUUCUUUUCUAAAUAUUUUGCGACUGUCUUCAUUAUUACAUGAGCUGAUGUGUUGAAGGUGACUACAGGUUGCGCUAAGUGUGCACAUCUCAUUAGAAAGUACAGUUUCUUGCCCAUCCAAAAUGCAUUUCUCAUCAUUUCCAUUGUGAUGGUCAGGAUCUGCCUGAAAUGCAGGUGAAUUUAAACUAGGGCACACUGCUGUGUGUGUUUGCUUUUCCAUCAACAAAUAAUAAUCAGGCGCAGGAGAGAGUCUCUUCAGUGAAUUUGCAGAUGUGCUCUGAUAUUUGGCAAGAUUUUGUUUUGACUUGUUCACAAAGAAUUCAUUGUGCUCAUCCUUCAGUUUAUAUCGUCCCCAAAGCCCUCUUUUAAUCUUUUUAAAACCUAGGUGGAAAAUUUCUAGAAUAUUUAAGAAAAGUGAAACAGUGGCUAUAGACUGCAUAAAUAACAGGAAUAUUGUCUUUUCUGUUGGUCUUGAGACAAAACAAUCAAUUAUAUUUGGACAUGGGUGGCUGUGGCAUUUAAAUAAAGGCUCUAAAUGAAAUCCAUACAAAAGGUACUGUCCAAUCAUGAACCCAACCUCUACCACAGAGCGAGUGAAAAUGUGUAUCACAUAAGUGCAAAGCAAGGUCCCCCUGAGUGGGGCUUUGCUUAGUUUCCUUUGUUCCAACUGACAAAGUUCUUGCUCCAGUCUCCUCCUGUCCCAGGGCAUUUCACACUCCACCCCCUUCAGUGCCCCUCUCAGCUGAGCUUUCUUCCUCUGCCUCUCUUUCUCCAGAACUUUCAGUCGGUACAAAGCAUGGCCCAUAUAGACCAGGGAUGGUGAAGACACAAAUAUCACCUGCAAGAUCCAGUAUCUAAUGAGGGAGAUGGGAAAGGCCUGGUCAUAGCAUACAUUUCUGCAGCCGGGUUGUUCUGUAUUACAGAUGAAGCCAGACUGCUCGUCGUUCCAGACAUCUUCAGCUGCUACACCCAGAACAAGCAUUCGAAAUAUGAACAGGAUAGUGAGCCAGAUCUUUCCAAUUAUGGUGGAGUGGAUGUGAACUUCCUCCAGGAUGCCUCCAAGGAAAUUCCAGUUCCCCAUGUUUAUUUAGUCAGCCAUCUUAGCUCUGAACCCCAUCAAAUAGGAGGCAGAUACAUUCUUCCAUUCUGAAGGGCAUGCUAUUUCCUAAAGCGAACCUAUGGCCAAAACAUGAACAAAGCAUCACU
rnacentral:lncRNA from 1 species